CAAAUCUCAUCCUGAAUUGUAGUUCCCAUAAUUCCCAUAUAUCGUGGGAGGGACCAGGUGGAGACAAUUGAACCAUGGGGCAGUUCCCCCAUCCUGUUCUCAUGAUAGUGAGUCAGCUAUCACAAGAGCUGACGGUUUGAUAAGGGGCUUCCCCCUUUGCUGGGCUCUCAUUCUUCUCCUCCCUGCCACCACGUGAAGAAGGAUGUGUGUGCUUCCCCUUCCACCAUGAUCAUAAGUUUCCUGAGGCUUCCUCAGCCGGGCUGAACUUUUCAGAUCUGACAUGGAAACAGGUUGGAAGUUAUCACUGCUAUCUACACAAUUAAAAAAAAAAACUGAAAAUCAGUGAAUUUUCUUGAACACAUCAGAGAACUGAGUUCACAGGGCAAACUAUACCAUCCUAGAACUUGAAGGAACAGACAGAUCCAGAGAGUUCCAGCCAGGAUCGGCUGACAUGGAACAAAAGCUGCUUUUGUCCUAAACUGCUUCAUGACAAGAAUGUUUGAAAGGCCAUGUUUUGAGAUGUGUACCAUCUGGCUGUAAGAAAUUGUAGUUGCCAACAUCAGGGAAACAGGCCUCUCUCCUUAGGAAUGCUUGAUCAUCCAACUAAGCACAUGAAGAUGAAAUGGAGUCUCGCUCUGUCACCCAGGCUGGAGUGUGAUGGCGCGAUUUCAGCACAGUGCAACCUCCACCUCCAGGGUUCAAGCAAUUCCCCUCAGCCUCCCGAGUGGCUGGGAUUACAGGCACCUGCCACCACGCCCGACUAAUUUUUGUAUUUUUAGUAGAGAUGAGGUCUCACCACUUGACCAAGAAAUUUGCUUUUUGAAUUUCUUAAUAUUAGUUGAGCUCUUUUGAUCCCCAUUUAUCCCCCCAAAAAUAAA